GAAAUAUGUCCUCUCAUCAAGUUGUUUCCAGGUAUGAUAAAAUGAGGACAGUUUUCAUUCAAAAUACUGUUGUACAGGGCAGAUAAACACAAUGAUAGACAAACAAGCCUAAAGAUCAUGUAUUAUUCAAGCGUAAAUCAUUAGAAGAAACAUUACAAGACAUUGAAAAAGCAAGAUUAGAAGCAGAGGCAAAGAAAAAGAAGAAAUAAGUGUUAGAGAUUUAUGAUGAAGAUAAAAGACUUUUUACGGCCCUUGUCUGCCAGGUUAAUUUUUUAUGGAAGUGAUUUAUAACUUUUCAUCAACAGUUAAAGAAGGAAAGGUGAAAAUAAACACUUAAAGGUUUAUAAAUGGUGUUCUGCUAACUUCUCAGGAGCUUAUGAAUAAAUGCAUUUCAGAAUAUUCUGUAACAACUGUUACUUUGCGCAUAGACUAAUUGAUAGAAGUAUUCUCAAGUUUACGAAUUACUAUUGAAACAUGAUAUAGAUUAAAUGAAAAUAAAGUGUUCUCAAUCCCGA